rnacentral:rRNA from 1 species
ACGCGAAGAACCUUACCACCUUUUGACAUGCCCGGACCGCCAGAGAGAUCUGGCUUUCCCUUCGGGGACUGGGACACAGGUGCUGCAUGGCUGUCGUCAGCUCGUGUCGUGAGAUGUUGGGUUAAGUCCCGCAACGAGCGCAACCCUCGCCAUUAGUUGCCAUCAUUUAGUUGGGAACUCUAAUGGGACUGCCGGUGCUAAGCCGGAGGAAGGUGGUGAUGACGUCAAGUCCUCAUGGCCCUUACAGGGU